GUCCAUUAUCUAUAAGGUUGGUUAAACCGUUUGGUUUACGACCACUACGACCCGGGUUCGAUCCCCGCAUUGGACA